GCCUGUGUAGCUCAAUGGUAGAGCGGCGGUAUCAUAAACCGUUGACGGAGGUUCGAUUCCUCCCAUAGGCA
rnacentral:tRNA from 1 species